rnacentral:tRNA from 1 species
GGGGACAUAGCUCAGUGGCAGAGCAUUUACCUAGAAUGUGAGACCCUGGGUUCAGUCCUCAGUGCAUCCCCA